UACUCCUCCUGGGUGUAUUUGCUUCUUUUUGUUCUAGAGCUUUUAGGUGUGCUGUCAAGCUGCUGACAUAUGCUCUUUCCUGUUUCUUUCUGCAGGCACUCAGCGCUAUGAGUUUUCCUCUUAGCACAGCUUUCAUUGUGUCCCAUAAGUUUGGGUAUGUUGUAUCUUCAUUUUCAUUAAAUUCUAAAAAGUUUUUAAUUUCUUUCUUUAUUUCUUCCUUGACCAGGUUAUCAUUGAGUAGAGCAUUGUUCAAUUUCCACGUAUAUGUGGGCAUUCUUCCCUUACUGUUAUUGAAGACCAGUUUUAGGCCGUGGUGGUCCGAUAGCAUGCAUGGGAUUAUCUCUAUCUUUCUGUACCUGUUGAGGCCCGUUUUUUGACCAAUUAUAUGGUCAAUUUUGGAGAAAGUACCAUGAGGAGCUGAGAAGAAGGUAUAUCCUUUUGCUUUAGGAUAGAAUGUUCUAUAAAUAUCCGUUAAGUCCAUUUGGCUCAUGACUUCUCUUAGUCUGUCGACAUCACUGUUUAAUUUCUGUUUCCAUGAUCUGUCCAUUGAUGAGAGUGGGGUGUUGAAGUCUCCCACUAUUAUUGUGUGAGGUGCAAUGUGUGUUUUGAGCUUUAGUAAGGUUUCUUUUACGUAUGUAGGUGCCCUUGUAUUUGGGGCAUAGAUAUUUAGGAUUGAGAGUUCAUCUUGGUGGAUUUUUCCUUUGAUGAAUAUGAAGUGUCCUUCCUUAUCUUUUUUGAUGACUUUUAGUUGGAAAUUGAUUUUAUUUGAUAUUAGAAUGGCUACUCCAGCUUGCUUCUUCUGACCAUUUGCUUGGAAAGUUGUUUUCCAGCCUUUCACUCUGAGGUAGUGUCUGUCUUUGUCUCUGAGGUGUGUUUCCUGUAGGCAGCAGAAUGCAGGGUCCUCAUUGCGUAUCCAGUUUGUUAAUCUAUGUCUUUUUAUUGGGGAGUUGAGGCCAUUGAUAUUGAGAGAUAUUAAGGAAUAGUGAUUAUUGCUUCCCUUUAUAUUCAUAUUUGGAUGUGAGGUUAUGUUUGUGUGCUUUCAUUCUCUUUGUUUUGUUGCCAAGACGAUUAGUUUCUUGCUUCUUCUAGGGUAUAGCUUGCCUCCUUAUGUUGGGCUUUACCAUUUAUUAUCCUUUGUAGUGCUGGAUUUGUAGAAAGAUAUUGUGUAAAUUUGGUUUUGUCAUGGAAUAUCUUGGUUUCUCCAUCAAUGUUAAUUGAGAGUUUUGCUGGAUACAGUAACCUGGGCUGGCAUUUGUGUUCUCUUAGGGUCUGUAUGACAUCAGUCCAGGAUCUGCUGGCCUUCAUAGUUUCUGGCGAGAAGUCUGGUGUGAUUCUGAUAGGUCUCCCUUUAUAUGUUACUUGACCUUUUUCCCUUACUGCUUUUAAUAUUCUUUCUUUAUUUUGUGCGUUUGGUGUUUUGACAAUUAUGUGACGGGAGGUGUUUCUUUUCUGGUCCAAUCUAUUUGGAGUUCUGUAGGCUUCUUGUAUGUCUAUGGGUAUCUCUUUUUUUAGGUUAGGGAAGUUUUCUUCUAUGAUUUUGUUGAAGAUAUUUACUGGUCCUUUGAGCUGGGAGUCUUCACUCUCUUCUAUACCUAUUAUCCUUAGGUUUGAUCUUCUCAUUGAGUCCUGGAUUUCCUGUAUGUUUUGGACCAGUAGCUUUUUCCGCUUUACAUUAUCUUUGACAGUUGAGUCAAUGAUUUCUAUGGAAUCUUCUGCUCCUGAGAUUCUCUCUUCCAUCUCUUGAAUUCUGUUGGUGAGGCUUGUAUCUACAGCUCCUUGUCUCUUCUUUUGGUUUUCUAUAUCCAGGGUUGUUUCCAUGUGUUCUUUCUUGAUUGCUUCUAUUUCCAUUUUUAAUUCCUUCAACUGUUUGAUUGUGUUUUCCUGGAAUUCUUUCAGGGAUUUUUGCCAUUCCUCUCUGUAGGCUUUUACUUGUUUAUUAAUGUUUUCCUGUGCUUCCCUAAGUGUGUUCAUGUCUUUCUUGAAGUCCUCCAGCAUCAUGAUCAAAUAUGAUUUUGUAACUAGAUCUUGCUUUUCUGGUGUGUUUGGAUAUUCCAUGUUUGUUUUGGUGGGAGAAUUGGGCUCCGAUGAUGGCAUGUAGUCUUGGUUUCUGUUGCUUGGGUUCCUGCGCUUGCCUCUCGGCAUCAGAUUAUCUCUAGUGUUACUUUGUUCUGCUAUUUCUGACAGUGGCUAGACUGUCCUAUAAGCCUGUGUGACAGGAGUGCUGUAGACCUGUUUUCCUCUCUUUCAGUCAGUUAUGGGGACAGAGUGUUCUGCUUUCUGGCGUGUAGUUUUUCCUCUCUACAGGUCUUCAGCUGUUCCUGUGGGCCUGUGUCUUGAGUUCAACAGGCAGCUUUCUUGCAGCAGAAAAUUUGGUCUUACCUGUGGUCCCGAGGCUCAGGUUCGCUCCUGGGGUGCUGCCCACGGGCUCUCUGCAGCGGCAGCAACCAGGAAGACCUGUGCUGCCCCUUCCGGGAACUUCAGUGCACCAGGGUUCCAGAUGGUCUUUGGCUUUUUCCUCUGGCGUCCGAGAUGUGUGUGCAGGGAGCAGUCACUUCUGGUUUCCCAGGCUUGUCUGCCUCUCUGAAGGUUUAGCUCUCCCUCCCACGGGAUUUGGGUGCAGAGAACUGUUUAUCCAGUCUGUUUCUUUCAGGUUCCGGCGGUGUCUCAGGCACAGGGGUCCUGCCGCUCCUGGGCCCUUCCCCACGGGAGCCCAGAGGCCUUAUACAGUUUCCUCUUGGGCCAGGGAUGUGGGCAGGGGUGAGCAGUGUUGGUGGUCUCUUCCGCUCUGCAGCCUCAGGAGUGCCCACCUGACCAGGCGGUUGGGUCUCUCUCUCACCGGGUCUGGGAGCAGAGAGCUGCUGCGGGCUGGGAUCCGCGGGUGUGGGACUUCCGGUAAACACAGAACGUGCCAGGUCCUAGAGAAAUUCUGCUUUCCUGUGUCCCAAGCUCACCAGGCAGCUUUCUUGCAGCAGAAAAUUUGGUCUUACCUGUGGUCCCGAGGCUCAGGUUCGCUCGUGGGGUGCUCCCCACGGGCUCUCUGCAGAGGCAGCAACCUGGAAGACCUGUGCCGCCCUUUCCGGGAGCUUCAGUGCACCAGGGUUCCAGAUGGUCUAUGGCUUUUUCCUCUGGCGUCCGAGAUGUGUGUGCGGGGAGCAGUCACUUCUGGUUUCCCAGGCUUGUCUGCCUCUCUGAAGGUUUAGCUCUCCCUCCCACGGGAUUUGGGUGCAGAGAACUGUUUAUCCGGUCUGUCUCUUUCAGGUUCCGGCGGUGUAUUAGGGUCAGGGGUCCUGCCGCUCCUGGGCCCUCCCCCACGGGAGCCCAGAGGCCUUAUACAGUUUCCUCUUGGGCCAGGGAUGUGGGCAGGGGUGAGCAGAGUUGGUGGUCUCUUCCGCUCUCUUUCCUGUUUCUUUCUGCAGGCACACAGCGCUAUAAGUUUUCCUCCUAGCACAGCUUUCAUUGUGUCCCAUAAGUUUGGGUAUGUUGUACCUUCAUUUUCAUUAAAUUCUAAAAAGUUUUUAAUUUCUUUCUUUAUUUCUUCCUUGACUAGGUUAUCAUUGAGUAGAGCUUGUUCAAUUUCCACGUAUAUGUGGGCAUUCUUCCCUUAUUGUUAUUGAAGACCAGUUGUAGGCCGUGGUGGUCUGAUAGCACGCAAGGGAUUAUUUCUAUCUUUCUGUACCUGUUGAGGCCCGUUUUUUGAACAACUAUAUGGUCAAUUUUGGAGAAAGUACCAUGAGGAGCUGAGAAGAAGGUAUAUCCUUUUGCUUUAGGAUAGAAUGUUCUAUAAAUAUCCGUUAAGUCCAUUUGGCUCAUGACUUCUCUUAGUCUGUCUACGUCUCUGUUUAAUUUCUGCUUCCAUGAUCUGUCCAUUGAUGAGAGUGGGGUGUUGAAGUCUCCCACUAUUAUUGUGUGAGGUGCAAUGUGUGUUUUGAGCUUUAGUAAGGUUUCCUUUACAUAUGUAGGUGCCCUUGUAUUUGGGGCAUAGGUAUUUAGGAUUGAGAGUUCAUCUUGGUGGAUUUUUCCUUUGAUGAAUAUAAAGUGUCCUUCCUUAUCUUUUUUGAUGACUUUUGAUUGAAAAUUGAUUUUAUUUGAUUUUAGAAUGGCUACUCCAGCUUCCUUCUUCUGACCAUUUGCUUGGAAAGUUGUUUUCUAGCCUUUCACUCUGAGGUAGUGUCUGUCUUUGUCUCUGAGGUGUGUUUCCUGUAGGCAGCAGAAUGCAGGGUUCUCGUUGCGUAUCCAGUUUGUUAAUCUAUGUCUUUUUAUUGGGGAGUUGAGGCCAUUGAUGUUGAGAGAUAUUAAGGAAUAGUGAUUAUUGCUUCCUGUUAUAUUCAUAUUUGGAUGUGAGGUUAUGUUUGUGUGCUUUUCUUCUCUUUGUUUUGUUGCCAAGACGAUUAGUUUCUUGCUUCUUCUAGGGUAUAGCUUGCCUCCUUAUGUUGGGCUUUACCCUUUAUUAUCCUAUGUACUGCUGGAUUUGUAGAAAGAUAUUGUGUAAAUUUGGUUUUGUCAUGGAAUAUCUUGGUUUCUCCAUCUAUGUUAAUUGAGAGUUUUGCAGGAUACAGUAACCUGGGCUGGCAUUUGUGUUCUCUUAGGGUCUGUAUAACAUCAGUCCAGGAUCUUCUGGCCUUCAUAGUUUCUGGCGAGAAGUCUGGUGUGAUUCUGAUAGGUCUGCCUUUAUAUGUUACUUGACCUUUUUCCCUUACUGCUUUUAAUAUUCUUUCUUUAUUUUGUGCGUUUGGUGUUUUGACUAUUAUGUGACGGGAGGUGUUUCUUUUCUGGUCCAAUCUAUUUGGAGUUCUGUAGGCUUCUUGUAUGCCUAUGGAUAUCUCUUUUUUUAGGUUAAGAAAAUUUCCUUCUAUGAUUUUGUUGAAGAUAUUUACUGGUCCUUUGAGCUGGGAGUCUUCACUCUCUUCUAUACCUAUUAUCCUUAGGUUUGAUCUUCUCAUUGAGUCCUGGAUUUCCUGUAUGUUUUGGACCAGUAGCUUUUUCUGCUUUACAUUAUCUUUGACAGUUGAGUCAAUGAUUUCAAUGGAAUCUUCUGCUCCUGAGAUUCUCUCUUCCAUCUCUUGUAUUCUGUUGGUGAAGCUUCUAUCUACAGCUCCUUGUCUCUUCUUUUGGUUUUCUAUAUCCAGGGUUGUUUCCAUGUGUUCUUUCUUGAUUGCUGCUAUUUCCAUUUUUAAUUCCUUCAACUGUUUGACUGUGUUUUCCUGGAAUUCUUUCAGGGAUUUUUGUGUCUCCUCUCUAUGGGCUUCUACUUGUGUAUUUAUGUUUUCCUGGAAUUCUUUCAGGCAUUUUUGCGAUUCCUCUCUGUAGGCUUCCACUUGUUCUCUAAGGGAGUUCUUCAUGUCUUUCUUGAAGUCCUCCAGCAUCAUGAUCAAAUAUGAUUUUGAAACUAUAUCUUGCUUUUCUGGUGUGUUUGGAUAUUCCAUGUUUGUUUUGAUGAGAGAAUUGGGCUCCGAUGGUGCCAUGUAGUCUUGGUUUCUGUUGCUUGGGUUCCUGCGCUUGCCUCGCCAUCAGAUUAUGUCUAGUGUUACUUUGUUCUGCUAUUUCUGACAGUGGCUAGACUGUCCUAUAAACCUGUGUGUCAGGAGUGCUGUAGACCUGUUUUCCUGUUUUCUUUCAGCCAGUUAUGGGGACAGAGUGUUCUGCUUUUAGGCAUGUAGUUUUUCCUCUCUACAGGUCUUCAGCUGUUCCUGUGGGCCUGUGUCUUGAGUUCACCAGGCAGGUCACUUGCAGCAGAAAAGUUGGUCUUACCUGUGUUGUCCCGAGGCUCAAGUUAGCUCGCGGAUGCUGCCCACAAGCUCUCUGCGGCGGCAGCAACCAGGAAGAUAUGCACCGCCCUUUCCGGGAGCUUCUGUGCACUAGGGUUCCAGAUGGCGUUUGGUGUUUUCCUCUGGCAUCCGAGAUGUGUGUGCAGAGUACAGUCUCUUCUGGUUUCCCAGGCUUGUCUGCCUCUCUGAAGGUUUAGCUGUCCCUCACACAAGAUUUGGGUGCAGAGAACUGUUUAUGUGGUCUGUUUCCUUCAGGUUCUGGCGGCGUCUCAGGCGCAGGGGUCCUGCUGCUCCUGGGCCCUCCCCUACGGGAACCCAGAGGCUUUAUACAGUUUCCUCUUGGGCCAGGGAUGUGGGCAGGGGUGGGCAGUGUUGGUGGUCUCCUCCGCUCUGCAGCCUCGGGAGUGCCCACCUGACCAGGCGGUGAGGUCUCCCUCCCACAGGGUUUGGGAGCAGAGAGCUGCUGGGGGCCGGGAUCCGCGGGUGUGAGGAUGUUGAACAUUUCUUUAGGUGUUUCUAAGCCAUUUGGCAUUCCUCAGCUGUGAAUUCUUUGUUUAUUUCUGAACCCCAUUUUUUAAUAGGGUUAUUUGUCUCCCUGCAGUCUAACUUCUUGAGUUCUUUGUAUAUUUUGGAUAUAAGGCCUCUAUCUAUUGUAGGAUUGGAAAAGAUCUUUUCCCAAUCUGUUGGUUUUCGUUUUGUCCUAAUCACAGUGUCCUUUGCCUUACAGAAGCUUUGCAGUUUUAUGAGAUCCCAUUUGUCGAUUCUUGAUCUUAGAGCAUAAGUCAUUGGUAUUUUGUUCCGGAAACUUUUUCCAGUGCCCAUGUGUUCGAGAUGCUGCCCUAGUUUUUCUUCUAUUAGUUUGAGUGUAUCUGGUUUGAUGUGGAGUUCCUUGAUCCACUUGGACUUAAGGUUUGUACAGGGUGAAAGCAUGGAUUGAUUUGCAUUCUUCUACAUGUUGACCUCCAGUUGAAACAGCACCAUUUUCUGAAAAUGCUAUCUUUUUUCCAUUGAUUGGUUUUUGGCUCCUUUGUCAAAAAUCAGGUGCCCAUAGGUGUGUGCGUUCAUUUCUGGGUCUUCAAUUCUGUUCCAUUGGUCUAUCUGUCUUUCGCUGUACCAAUAUCAUGCUGUUUUUAUCACUAUUGCUUUGUAAUACUGCUUGAGUUCAGGGAUAGUGAUUCCCCAGGGAGUCCUUUUAUUGUUGAGAAUAGUUUUAGCUAUCCUGGGUUUUUUUGUUAUUCCAGAUGAAAUUGCAAAUUGUUCUGUCUAACUCUUUGAAGAAUUGGAUUGGUAUUUUGAUGAGGAUUGCAUUGAAUCUGUAGAUCACUUUUGGUAAAAUGGCCAUUUUUACUAUAUUAAUCCUGCCAAUCCAUGAGCAUGGGAGAUCUUUCCAUCUUCUGAGCUCUUCUUCAAUUUCUUUUUUCAGAGUCUUGAAGUUCUUAUUGUACAAAUCUUUUAUUUGCUUGGUUAAAGUCACUUCGUGGUACUUUAUAUUGUUUGAGUCUAUUAUGAAGGGUGUCGUUUCCCUAAUUUCUUUCUCGGCUUCUUUCUCUUUUGUGUAGAGGAAGGCUACUGAUUUAUUUGAGUUAAUUUUAUACCCAGCCACUUUGCUGAAAUUGUUUAUCAGCUUUAGUAGUUCUCUGGUGGAACUUUUGGGAUCACUUAAAUAUACUAUCAUAUCAUCUGCAAAUAGUGAUAUUUUGACUUCUUCUUUACCAAUCUGUAUCCCCUUGACCUCCUUUUGUUGUCUGAUUGCUCUGGCUACAACUUCAAGAACUAUAUUGAAUAAGUAGGGAGAGAGUGGGCAGCCUUGUCUAGUCCCUGAUUUUAGUGGGAUUGCUUCAAGUUUCUCUCCAUUUAGUUUAAUGUUAGCAACUGGUUUGCUGUAUAUGGCUUUUACUAUGUUUAGGUAUGGGCCUUGAAUUCCUAUUCUUUCCAGGACUUUUAUCAUGAAGGGGUGUUGAAUUUUGUCAAAUGCUUUCUCAGCAUCUAAUGAAAUGAUCAUGUGGUUUUGUUCUUUCAGUUUGUUUAUAUAAUGAAUCACGUUGAUGGUUUUCCAUAUAUUAAACCAUCCCUGCAUGCCUGGGAUGAAGCCUACUUGAUCAUGGUGGAUGAUUGUUUUGAUGUGCUCUUGGAUUCUGUUUUCCAGAAUUUUAUUGAGUAUUUUUGCGUCAAUAUUCAUAAGGGAAAUUGGUCUAAAGUUCUCUUUCUUUGUUGUGUCUUUGUGUGGUUUAGGUAUAAGAGUAAUUGUGGCUUCAUAGAAGGAAUUCGGUAGUGCUCCAUCUGUUUCAAUUUUGUGGAUUAGUUUGGAUAAUAUUGGUAUUAGGUCUUCUAUGAAGGUCUGAUAGUAUUCUGCACAAAACCCGUCUGGAUCUGGGCUCUUUUUGGUUGGGAGACCUUUAAUGAGUGCUUCUAUUUCCUUAGUAUUUAUGGGGUUGUUUAACUGGUUUAUCUGUUCCUGAUUUAACUUCAGUACCUGGUAUCUGUCUAGGAAAUUGUCCAUUUCCUGCAGAUUUUCAAGUUUUGUUGAAUAUAGGCUUUUAUAGUAAGAUCUGAUGAUUUUUUUUAUUUUCCUCUGAAUCUGUAGUUAUGUCUCUCUUUUCAUUUCUGAUUUUGUUAAUUUGCAAACACUCUCUGUGUCCUCUAGUUAGUCUGGCUAAGGGUUUAUCUAUCUUGUUGAUUUUCUCAAAGAACCAACUUUUGGUUUUUUUGAUUCUUUCUAUGGUCCUUUUUGUUUCUACUUGGGUGAUUUCAGCUCUGAGUUUGAUUAUUUCCUGCCGUCUACUCCUCCUGGGUGUAUUUGCUUCUUUUUGUUCUAGAUCUUUUAGGUGUGCUGUCAAGCUGCUGACAUAUGCUCUCUCCUGUUUCUUUCUGCAGGCACUCAGAGCUAUGAGUUUUCCUCUUAGCACAGCUUUCAUUGUGUCCCAUAAGUUUGGGUAUGUUGUACCUUCAUUUUCAUUAAAUUCUAAAACGUCUUUAAUUUCUUUCUUUAUUUCUUCCUUGACCAGGUUAUCAUUGAGUAGAGCAUUGUUCAAUUUCCACGUAUAUGUGGGCAUUCUUCCCUUAUUGUUAUUGAAGACCAUUUUUAGGCCGUGGUGGUCUGAUAGCAUGCAUGGGAUCAUUUCUAUCUUUCUGUACCUGUUGAGGCCCGUUUUUUGACCAAUUAUAUGGUCAAUUUUGGAGAAAGUAUCAUGAGGAGCUGAGAAGAAGGUAUAUCCUUUUGCUUUAGGGUAGAAUGUUCUAUAAAUAUCUGUGAAGUCCAUUUGGCUCAUGACUUCUCUUAGUCUGUCUACGUCUCUGUUUAAUUUCUGUUUCCAUGAUCUGUCCAUUGAUGAGAGUGGGGUGUUGAAAUCUCCUACUAUUAUUUUGUGAGGUGCAAUAUGUGUUUUGAGCAUUAGUAAGAUUUAUUUUAUUUAUGUAGGUGCCCUUGCAUUUGGAGCAUAGAUAUUUAGGAUUGACAGUUCAUCUUGGUGGAUUUUUCCUUUGAUGAAGUGUCCUUCCUUAGAUUUUUUGAUUACUUUUAGUUGAAAAUUGAUUUUAUUUGAUAUUAGAAUGGCUACUACUCCAGCUUGCUUCUUCAGACCAUUUGCUUAGAAAGUUGUUUUCCAGCCUUUCACUCUGAGGUAGUGUCUGUCUUUGUCUCUGAGGUGUGUUUCCUGUAGGCAGCAGAAUGCAGGGUUGUCAUUGCGUAUCCAGUUUGUUAAUCUAUGUCUUUUUAUUGGGGAGUUGAGGCCAUUGAUGUUGAGAGAUAUUAAGGAAUAGUGAUUGCUGCUUCCUGUUAUAUUUGUAUUUGGAUGUGAGAUUAUGUUUGUGUGCUUUUAUUCUCGUUGUUUUGUUUCCAAGACGAUUAGUUGCUUUCUUUUCUAGGGGUAGCUUGCCUCCGUCUGUUGGGCUUUGCCAUUUAUUAUCCUUUGUCCGGCUGGAUUUGUAGAAAUUUAUUGUGUAAAUUUGGUUUUGUCAUGGAAUAUCUUGGUUUCUCCAUCUAUGUUAAUUGAGAGUUUUGCUGGAUACAGUACCCUGGGCUGGCAUUUGUGUUCUCUUAGGGUCUGUAUGACAUCUGUCCAGGAUCUCCUGACUUUCAUAGUCUCUGGUGAGAAGUUCAGUAUGUUUCUGAUAGAUCUGCCUUUAUAUGUCGAUUGACCUUUUCCCCUUACUGCUUUUAAUAUUCUUUCUUUGUUUUGUGCAUUUGGUGUUUUGAGUAUUAUGUGACGGGAGGAUUUUCUUUUCUGGUCCAAUCUAUUUGGAGUUCUGUAGGCUUCUUGUAUGCCUAUGGGUAUCUCUUUUUAGGUUAGGGACAUUUUCUUCUUUGAUUUUGUUGAAGAUAUUUACUGGUCCUUUGAGCUGGGAGCCUUCACUCUCUUCUAUACCUAUUAUCCUUAGGUUUGAUCUUCUCAUUGAGUCCUGGAUUUCCUGUAUGUUUUGGACCAGUAGCUUUUUCCAUUUUCCAUUAUCUUUGACAGUUGUGUCGAUGUUUUCUAUGGUAUCUUCUGCCCCUGAGAUUCUCUCUUCCAUCUCUUGUAUUCCGUUGGUGAUGCUUGUAUCUGCGGCUCCUUGUCUCUUCCUUUGGUUUUCUAUAUCCAGGGUUAUCUCCAUUUGUGCUUUCUUUAUUGCUUCUAUUUCAAUUUUUAAUUCCUUCAUCUGUUUGAUUGUGUUUUCCUGGAAUUAUUUCAGGGAUUUUUGUGAUUCCUCUCUGUAGGCUUCUACUUGUUCAUUUGUGUUUUUUCCUGCAUUUCUCUAAGGGAGUUCUUUAUGUCUUUCUUGAAGUUCUCCAGCCUCAUGAUCAAGUGUGAUUUUAAAUCUAGAUCUUGCUUUUCUGUUGUGUUUGGAUAUUCAUUGUUUGCUUUGGUGUGAGAAUUGGGCUCCGAUGAUGCCAUGUAGUCUUUGUUUCUGUUGCUUCAGUUCCUGUGCUUGCCUCUCUCCAUCAGAUUAUCUCUAGUGUUACCUUGUUCUGCUAUUUCUGACAGUGGCCAGAUCAUCCUAUAAGCCAGUGUGUCAGGAGUGCUGUUGACCUGUUUUCCUGUUUUCUUUCAGCCAGUUAUGGGAACAGAGUGUUCUGCUUUCGGGUGUGUAGUUUUUCCUGUCUACUGGUCUUCAGCUGUUCCUGUGGGCCUGUGACCUGUCCACCAGGCAGGUCGCUUGGAGCAGAAAAGUUGGUUUUACCUGUGGUCCUGUGCCCGAAGUGGCUCCUCGGCAGCUGCUUUUGAUCUUUCUGUGAUGGUGGCAACUAGGAGGGUCUUCACUGCCUUUUCCCAGGGCCCCCGUGCACCAGGGUCCCAGAUGGCAUUAGGUGUUUUCCUCUGGAGUGAGAAAUGUGGGCAGAGUGUAGUCUCUCCUGGCUUCCCAGGUGUGUCUGCCCCUCUGAAGAUUUAGCUCUCCCUCCCAUGGGAUUUGGGUGCAGGGAGUUUUUGAUGGGGUCCCUUCAGGUCUGGGUGGUGUCUGGACAGCAGGGGACCUGCCGCUCGAGUGCCCCUGUCUUCUAGUUUCCAGAGGCCCUAUACAGUUUCCUCUUGGGCCAUGGAUGUGGGCAGGGGUGGGCAGUAUUGGUGGUCUCUCCCGCUCUGCAGUCCCAGGAGUGCCCACCUGUCCAGGCAUUGAGCUCUCUCUCCCAAGGGGUUUGGGAGAAGGGAAUGUGGCCCAUAAUUUUAUAUAGUCUAUAACUCCUUAUCCAGGAACCACUCUCAAAUGUUAUGUAAAAAUUAUUUCCUAACUUCAAUAAUGUUUUCCUUUCUAAUAUCCCAAUGUUGGCUCUAAUUCAUUUUCUAAUAGUUUCUAUAAAGUUUCUUUGCAAGUAAAGCAUUAAUCUGGAACUACCAUUGUGCAGUUACUAGAUUGUUUCCAAGAUGAGAACACACAGCAUGCACCUGGGCCAUUAGGGCUGUGCUGUGCUAUGCUGUGGCCCUGUGCCUCAAUUUUCAAUUGUUUAAGAUUCAUAACAUCAAGGAACAUCUAGUUUCACAGAAAUCACCAGAGCAGAAGGAAAAAGAAGUAGGAAAGUCAGAUAUAAUAGAUUAAUUAUUCACACCAAGGCCAACUGAAAGGCAGGCACACACAAAUGAAAUCUAUACAGCCAUUUUCCAGGGCGAAUGUUAGGGAAAUUGGAACAACCUUUUUUUACAAAGAGCUGCUGUGGGCUACUGAGAUGUCUCCAUCCCGGCCUACUGCCGACAGUCCCUGUCAUCAUAUGCUGUCCCAGCAGCUAACUAUUUCAACAGAAUGUUCUAUUUAUAUGACUAUUUCAAAUGGAUCUAUUACUCCAUGUACAAUAAUUAUGUUGUGGAACAUCUUUCCAGUAUCUGGCCUAUUUUUCAGGUUAGGCACAUCUUCAUCCUCUCCGCAGACUGGAUCUCUCUGAAUGAAAGCAAAGAUUGUGUGUACUCCUAGGCAUCCUCAAAGCCUCUCUUUUUUUGUCUAUUUUUUCACUGUUGCCAAAGUAAUCAUAUCUUUCAAAUGUUCCUUUUAUCAAGGCAUCAUAAUCACUGUGAGUAUAUGACUGUCUGGGUACUAGGAUGUCUGCUCAUGUCAAAUUAGUGUUCAGUAUUCCACUGACAGACUGGAGAGAUGUAUUUGAGAAACUUUCUAGUAUUGGACUUGGUGAGUGUUGAUGGCUGAAUGCAAUUUCUUAUUCUACUGUGGAUUAAUAGACCAAGGGUCCUUCAGAGAGGAAAGGUAAGCACCCAAGGUUUUUCUCCUGAAAUCAGUCCAGGUGGCCCAAACUGGUGAUCAGAAGACAUAACAUUAAUACUUGUCCUAAUGAUUUCCUUGCUAGACAGCUAGAAAUUUUAAGUAAAUAAAAUCACUGGAUUCUUCAAGGACUCUAUUGUCAGAUUAUUUGUGACGGUUGGUUCUUUUUGAUUCCCAGAACAUUGAAGAUUACCAACUGUGGUUUUUGUCCUGGCCAUGAGGAAGCUCCAAGAACACUCCAAGGAUAUGUUGUCCAUAAUUGUAGAAAAAGGACAAUGUUCUGAUGACCUUUUCAGAAUGCAAUCGGAAAAAUCACACUGGUCCCUUAGGGAAAAGGUUAACACCGGAAAACAUAUUAACUUGAAAGAGGAAUCCGUGCUCACUGUCGCUUCUGUCGUAAUGGUAAGGAAUGUUUUUGCAUCACCAACAUUCAGCAUCCCUCUGGAGAUAUAUUUGUGGUUUCUGUCCUUGAGAUAGCAUGAUGAUGGCAGUUUCCUUGAACUAUAGACACAUGACCUCUUGGUAAAAGGCAAGGUAGGUAAAAGCUUGAGAAGCUCAAAGAUUCUUCUCAAAGUCACAGGUGAACAUCAUCUGUUAGAAGUUAACUUCCUCAAAUAUCGGAUGGAAUUUGGUUUGGCAAUACAAAUGUCCCACUGAUGUCACUUCUGACUGUACCGUGUGAGCAAUAGCAGGGCAAGUAAUAAUAGUGGGAAAUGUGCGUUUAACAAACACAUAUCUCAAAUCAUACUGACCAAAAAUAUUCCUCCUAAAUAACAACAGUACAAAGAGCUAGUCCAUGACAGAUUUUAAUAGGUUAUGAGAGAGUUGGAUGUUGCACUCUGUCCAGUAAAUACACGAAAUUGUUUUCCAUCUCUACCAAGAAUGAAUAAAUAUAACAGCCCCCUCUCUUUUGCCAAAUAUCGCCAUCCUAAUUCUCAAAUAAUGAAAAAUUAGCCUAACCUUUUUCAAAAUAGUCUUCCAUGCUUAACUUACCAGUGAGCACCAGUAACUCUGGAGCAGAUAUCAUUGCUUUAUUUUUAUUUGGGCCAUGAUCUGAGUUUGCCUCUCAGUAGACUGUGGAGCUAUGGCCCAGACUUCAAGAGAAAAGAUAGUGCUCUGAGAGUAGGCAUGCUUAAUAACAUUAGGCAAAAUUACUGAAUUGUCCCUCUUUGGCCAGAGAGUCUGACAAGGGCUUCUGGCACUCAUUGCCAGAUAUCUGGACACCUCAUGGGGAGGAAAGUGAAGAUCAGUAACUGAAGGAGUCCAUGUGUAUUCAUAGCAAUUUAAAGGUUCAUGAAAACCAGACAAUCUUCCAUUUUUCUGAUUUGCAGUCCUUGAUAAAACAUGAAAGUUAAUUGUGGUACUUCAUGAACAAAGACACUUUUCUAUCCUUCCAACAAGCUACUGCUUACAAUUAAUUUAAAUAGUUGAAUAUUUACACAUUAAAAGGAAUGGAUAUAAAACUGGGAGAUCUUCUGACAUAAAAAACAGGAUGCUCAAGAAAGUUCAAAACUAUUCAAAGUGGACCUGUAAGCAGAGGUGCACUUGUAUAUUAUGUGAGAGAAAGUACGGAUUCACCAGAUUAUACAAUCAUAACGAGAUAUUUACGGACGCUGCCAUUUUUUGAUGGUUACUUUUUUCUGGAAUAGUUCUUUGGUAUUUGUUUAUUUUCUUGUUUUUUUUUUCAUAUAGUUGCUGCAAUUUUUUCUUUCCUUUUUUACAGUUUUUUAAUUAUUUUUCCUAUUUAAUUAUUUAUUUAGUUAUUUAUUUUUUCUAAAUCUUGACCGCUGUCCCUACCUCAUCACCCUUCACAGAGUCUCUUCCCUUCUCCUCUGUGUUGGUUAGGGCCCCCUGGUUUAUCCUCACUUCCUGGCACAAGAACUCUCUUCCGAAUUAGUAUACCUAUCCUACAGAGUCCAGUUGGUGAAGGAUUUCCACAGACACUCUACAUACUGGGGGAUCCACAUGGAGACAGAGCUGCACAUUUCCCACACAUGUGCCUAUCCUUUUGAAGAUGCCAAAGCCAAACUACGUUUUGCUUAAGGAACUCAUCCAUGUUCUACAAAAAAAUUAAAACCACUUCUGUGAACCAUUUAGACACCUAUGCCUUGUCUGUUUGCAUAGCACCUCAUGGUUUAUGAAAUCCGACUUGCAAGAACUUAUUUGGGAGGGAUAUCUCAAAGAAGAUGUCCAUUAUACAAAUCAUGAUUGACAACUUUCAAGAGAUAUUUGGAGAAAAAGAUAGUGUAUUUUAUGAAGAUAAUCAGAAGUCUUAUGACGUCAACAUGCCUUCUGCUACAUUAAAUACUUCUGGCAAAGCAACGCUUAUGAUUGAAACCAUAGAUGACCACAGUGUGAAGACCUCAAAUGUUAAUACUAAAGAAUUAAAUAUUUCAUCUGAUGCUCCUGAGGAGGAAGCUCCUACAGGUAAGAGAAGUUGUUUUUUUUUUUUUUAUUAACUUGAGUAUUUCUUAUAUACAUUUCAAGUGUUAUUCCCUUGCCCGGUUUCCGGGCAAACAUCCC